rnacentral:rRNA from 1 species
AUUGAACGCUGGCGGCAGGCCUAACACAUGCAAGUCGAGCGAGCGGCGGACGGGUGAGUAAUGUAUGGGGACUGCCCGAUAGAGGGGGAUAACUACUGGAAACGGUGGCUAAUACCGCAUACUAACGGAUAACCCAUAUGGGAUUGGCUAGUAGGUGGGGUAAAGGAUCACCUAGGGGACGAUCUCUAGCUGGUCUGAGAGGAUGAUCAGCCACACGGCGACUGAGACGCGGCCCAGACUCCUACGGAGGCAGGAGUGGGACAUAUUGCACAAGGGGCGCAAGCCUGAUGCAGCCAUGCCGCGUGUAUGAGGAAGGCCUUCGGGUUGUAAAGUACUUUCAGCGGGGAGGCGUUACCCGCAGAAGAAGCACCGGCUAACUCCGUGCCAGCAGCCGCGGUAAUAC